rnacentral:rRNA from 1 species
AACGAACGCUGGCGGCAUGCCUAACACAUGCAAGUCGAACGAGACCUUCGGGUCUAGUGGCGCACGGGUGCGUAACGCGUGGGAACCUGCCUUUAGGUUCGGGAUAACUCAGAGAAAUUUGAGCUAAUACCGGAUGAUGUCUUCGGACCAAAGAUUUAUCGCCUUUAGAUGGGCCCGCGUUGGAUUAGCUAGUUGGUGGGGUAAAGGCCUACCAAGGCGACGAUCCAUAGCUGGUCUGAGAGGAUGAUCAGCCACACUGGGACUGAGACACGGCCCAGACUCCUACGGGAGGCAGCAGUGGGGAAUAUUGGACAAUGGGCGAAAGCCUGAUCCAGCAAUGCCGCGUCAGUGAUGAAGGCCUUAGGGUUGUAAAGCUCUUUUACCCGAGAUGAUAAUGACAGUAUCGGGAGAAUAAGCUCCGGCUAACUCCGUG